rfam:Gossypium arboreum cultivar AKA8401 contig_36412_1, whole genome shotgun sequence.
UAUUAAAAAUUUCAUCCAUUUCCACCUUUAAAAACUGAUGUGGUUGACAGAGUAACUACCUCGUUACACGUAGCAUGCCAUGUUUACACCAUGCUGACGUACAAUAACAAAUUUUUAAUAGUAAAAAUAGAUGAAAUUUUUAAUA